rnacentral:rRNA from 1 species
UACGUAGGGGGCAAGCGUUGUCCGGAAUCAUUGGGCGUAAAGAGCGUGUAGGCGGCUCGGUAAGUCCGCUGUGAAAGUCCAGGGCUCAACCCUGGAAUGCCGGUGGAAACUGUCGAGCUAGAGUCCGGAAGAGGCGAGUGGAAUUCCUGGUGUAGCGGUGAAAUGCGUAGAUAUCGGAAGGAACACCAGUGGCGAAGGCGAGUCCCUGGACAACUCCUGACACUGAGGCACGAAAGCUAGGGGAGCAAACAGG